rnacentral:rRNA from 1 species
UUGGAGGGCAAGUCUGGUGCCAGCAGCCGCGGUAAUUCCAGCUCCAAUAGCGUAUAUUAAAGUUGUUGCAGUUAAAAAGCUCGUAGUUGGAUUUCGGGGUUCUACCGUUGGUCGGGCUUUGUCUGUACUGGCGUGUAGAAUUUCUACCUUCUGGGGAACCACCAUGUUAUUAAUUUAGCGUGGUGGGAAACCAGGACCUUUACCUUGAAAAAAUUAGAGUGUUCAAAGCAGGCUUAUGUCUGAAUACAUUAGCAUGGAAUAAUAGAAUAGGACGGUGGUCCUGUUUUGUUGGUUUCUGAAUCACCGUAAUGAUUAAUAGGGAUAGUUGGGGGCAUUAGUACUCAAUUGUCAGAGGUGAAAUUCUUGGAUUUAUUGAAGACUAACUUCUGCGAAAGCAUUUGCCAAGGAUGUUUUCAUUAAUCAAGAACGAAAGUUAGGGGAUCGAAGACGAUCAGAUACCGUCGUAGUCUUAACCAUAAACUAUGCCGACUAGGGAUUGGACGAUGUUAAUUUUUCUUGACUCGUUCGGCGCCUUACGGGAAAC